UGGGGAAUAUUGGACAAUGGGCGAAAGCUUGAUCCAGCCAUGCCGCAUGAGUGAAGAAGGCCUUUGGGUUGUAAAGCUCUUUUAGUGAGGAAGAUAAUGACGGUACUCACAGAAGAAGUCCUGGCUAACUCCGUGCCAGCAGCCGCGGUAAUACGGAGAGGGCUAGCGUUCUUAGGAAUUAUUGGGCGUAAAGGGCGCGUAGGCUGGUUAAUAAGUUAAAAGUGAAAUCCCGAGGCUUAACCUUGGAAUUGCUUUUAAAACUAUUAAUCUAGAGAUUGAAAGAGGAUAGAGGAAUUCCUGAUGUAGAGGUAAAAUUCGUAAAUAUUAGGAGGAACACCGGUGGCGAAGGCGUCUAUCUGGUUCAAAUCUGACGCUGAAGCGCGAAGGCGUGGGGAGCAAACA
rnacentral:rRNA from 1 species